UAAUGUCUUUUAUUUUAUAUAGCAUUUUAUUUAAUGCAAUAGUUUAAUGCAAUGUUAAAGGUAAUAAACAAAUCAAUAAGUUAAACUAGAUCUGCUACAUCACGCUAUGUUAAGAGUAGUUAAACAAGAUUAAAGUAAAAUUCACACAAUAAGUAAUGCUGAAAAUAGUAAAAAUUAUAUAAAUGCGACUUUAAAAAUGCAAUAAACUUUAGCGAGGAUUGAUGUUGGACAUUAGCCUUGGAGAAUAAAACUGAUAUAGGAAAUUUAUAUCAGAUAUAUUGAAAUCUUUCAACACAUUUCACAACUCCUACUUCUAAAAUUAAAAGCUUAUAGAAUAAAUGACUAACUCUACAAUUGGAUUUUGAUGUUACCUAAGAGAACGGCAUUAGAGUAUCAUUGUUGGUGGUACAUACUCAGAAUGGAUAAUAGUAAAUAGUGGGGUCCCCCAUUAUUUACUUUUAUGAUAUAUAAUAAAGAUUUUUCUAAUUUGGUUUUAGAUGUUGUAUCUGUAUUUACAGAUGAUUCUAAGUUAUACAGUUUGCUACUAUCCUAGACUUUAAAAAGAUCAACAAUUAAUUUAAAAUGUUCUAUGCUAGUAAAUAUUUAAAACGUUCUAUGCUAGUAUUUGGCCAGGCUGGACUCACUUACAACCAAAGACUACUGAGACUAAAUUUGAAUAACAUGAGCUAUCGUUUCUUAUUUAAUGACAUGGCAGAAACUUACAAAUGCAUUCACAAUCUUUAUAAUUGUAGUUGCAACCCUUUUGUUUCCUCAUGUCAUCUGCACAGCCAUUAUAUUUAUUACUGUAAUUACAGACCAUUACGUAGUUAAUCUGAGUUGUAAUAGGAUGUGUGUUAAUAUGGCCACUUCUUAAUAUUAAUAUAUGAUUAUAUAUUUAGUUAGUAUUUAUUCCUCCAUUAUGACUAACUCUCACUUAACAACAUGCGAUCAUGCAUGUGAUCAUAAAUUUUCUAAUAGGGAGUUCACAAAUUUGCAGAAUAGUCUACCAUCUGAAAUAGUGUUCAACAUCUGUCACGACAUUAAAAAAACAUCUAGAUGCAUCUUGGGUUCAUCAAAUGUACAAUUGCAAAAUGGUAAAUAUUUACUUAGAGCCUCAAGUUGUUUAUCUUUCUUAAUGUCAUAUUUAAAUAAGAAAAUUUUAUCAUAAAAACCUUUCCAAACCGCGCAAACUUUAAAAUUCACUUUUUUUUACUAAUUACCAAUAAUUAAUCUCUACUUGUAAUAAAAAGUGAUUACAUUAAACAUUAAGAAAUGAAUCUCAAUAAUUUUUAGACUAAUAUUUUCAGUUAAAAAAAAAAUAAUCUCAAAAAAGAAAUUUAAUCUGAAGUUUUUUUAUAUCAUAAAUUUAUUUGUAAUUAUUUUUUAGCUGAUGUACAUUAAAAUGAAGGUGGUAAUAAAGUUUGCAAAAUUUGCUCUGGCUGAAUUUUUCAAUCAAAAAGCAAUAUGUGUGCCAUGAAUGUAAUCUAUUUUUUAUGGCGUAUCAAUGAAAGUUUGGUGUAUUGGCCAAAUCACUUGCAAGCAUCUUGCCUUUAAACUGCCAUAUGUAAAGUCACGCUUUUAAAAGUAACUGAAAGCAGCUGAAAAUAAGAAUUUUUUGUUAUGAGACUGCUUUAGAACGGAAUUAUCUGUGCCUCCAGCUUAAAAGGAUGCAGGUUACUUAAAAAGUGACACUGAUGAGAUUGUCUCUCAGUUUCUCAAAGAUUGAAGAAAUCUUUAGUGUUUUAGGGUUAAGUGAUUCCAUCAGAGAUUUGCUUGACUAUCUCUUUCGAUUUAUUGAAUUUAUUUGCCGGUUAUAGAUGAAAAAAGAUCUUCUAAACCUAGAAGAAGAAUUAUGGAGACACCUUAUGAAUCAAUUGUAUAUAUCAAAGACACCUUAUGAAUUAAUAGUAUAUAUCAGUGAAUUGAUAUUAGUUAAAAGUUUUUGGAAACAGUACCAUGUACUAUUAGAGUUUCUAAUUUUUAAAAUAUAUAAUUUAUAUGAAACAUACAAACAAAUGAUAAAAUAUGAUACGUGAUUGACUAUAAUUAUGUUGUAUAUCAGAAUGUUUUAUAUAAAUGCUUUUUACAUUUUAUUGUGAUUUUUAUCUUUUAUGCCCAGUUAGUAAUGUAUUUUGUGUAGCAAUGACUACUAACCUCAGAUAUCUUUGACAUCUGUAGUGUGUAUUCACCGCUACAGAUGUCAUAAUUUAUUUAUAACCAAUUGCUUUUACUCUUCCAUAAUGUCAUAUUUUAAUAAGAAUCACAUUAUGGAAAACCGUCUUAUACAUACACAUGAGGAACCAUUAUACUUUUAGUACAACCAAUUAUAUUACAUUUGUUUUCUUAUUUUAGAUGAACUUUCUUACUUCAGUUGGAGGAGGUGAGAAACAACUUACAGCGACAAUCUAAAUACAGUUAAUGGCCAAAGAAGUAUGUUUUUCAUACUCAGUGUAUGGGAGGAACCAAAAACGUCCUGCAAGGUCGUUAUAGAAUUGCGUUCAGUCGUUUAUCGUUGUAUUCGUUCAUUUCGAAAUCGCUACUGACAAAAGUAUUAAAGAAAAAAUUGACAGCUUUCUGGCGACGGCCAUUAAUAGAGAUUAUGGAAGAAAAAUAGAACCGUAACUGAGCAACGCUCAAUAUUGAGCAAUGAAAUAAGUAUCGCCAAUAUAAUAAAAGUCGAUGCCCACUAUCUUAUAGUGAGAGUAUAAUACAGUAGUUUAUAAAUAUAUAUAUAUAUAUAUAUAUAUAU